rnacentral:rRNA from 1 species
AGGACAAACGCUGGCGGGGUGCGUGAGACAUGCAAGUCGAACGAGGUGCCAUCGGGCUUGCUCGAUGGCUACCUAGUGGCGGACGGCUGAGUAACGCGUAGGUGACCUACCCGGAAGUGGGGAAUAACUGCCCGAAAGGGUGGCUAAUACCGCAUACGGUCGACGAUUCGUUUCGUCGUCCAAAGGAGUAAUCCGCUUCCGGCGGGGCCUGCGUCCGAUUAGCUAGUUGGUGGGGUAACGGCUCACCAAGGCGACGAUCGGUAGCUGGUCUGAGAGGAUGAUCAGCCAGACUGGGACUGAGAACGGCCCAGACUCCUACGGGAGGCAGCAGUCGGGAAUUUGCCCAAUGGACGAAAGUCUGAGGCAGCAACUCCGCGUGAGGACGAAGGCUCUCGGGUCGUAAACCUCUUUUCUCUAGGAAGAGUCCAAGACGUACCUAGAGGAAUAAGCCAACGGCUAACUACGUGACCAGCAGCCGCGGU